GAUGAACGCUGGCGGCGUGCCUAAUACAUGCAAGUCGAGCGAACGGACGAGAAGCUUGCUUUUCUGAUGUUAGCGGCGGACGGGUGAGUAACACGUGGAUAACCUACCUAUAAGACUGGGAUAACUUCGGGAAACCGGAGCUAAUACCGGAUAAUAUUUUGAACCGCAUGGUUCAAAAGUGAAAGACGGUCUUGCUGUCACUUAUAGAUGGAUCCGCGCUGCAUUAGCUAGUUGGUAAGGUAACGGCUUACCAAGGCAACGAUGCAUAGCCGACCUGAUAGGGUGAUCGGCCACCCUGGAACUGAGACACGGUCCAGAGUCCUACGGGAGGCAGCAGUAGGGAAUCUUCCGCAAUGGGCGAAAGCCUGACGGAGCAACGCCGCGUGAGUGAUGAAGGUCUUCGGAUCGUAAAACUCUGUUAUUAGGGAAGAACAUAUGUGUAAGUAACUGUGCACAUCUUGACGGUACCUAAUCAGAAAGCCACGGCUAACUACGUG
rnacentral:rRNA from 1 species